rnacentral:rRNA from 1 species
GAUGAACGCUAGCGGAAGGCAUAAUACAUGCAAGUCGAACGGAUGUAGCAAUACAUUAGUGGCGCACGGGUGCGUAACGCGUAUGCAACCUACCUUCAUCAGGGGGAUAACUACUCGAAAGGGUGGCUAACAUCGCAUAAUACUACUGAAUGGCAUCAUUUGGUAUUUAAAUCUGAGGAGGAUGAAGAUGGGCAUGCGUCUGAUUAGCUAGUUGGUGUGGUAACGGCGCACCAAGGCGACGAUCAGUAGGGGAACUGAGAGGUUGGUCCCCCACACUGACACUGAGAUACGGGCCAGACUCCUACGGGAGGCAGCAGUAGGGAAUAUUGGUCAAUGGUGGGAACACUGAACCAGCCAUUCCGCGUGCAGGAAGAAGGGUCUCUGACUUGUAAACUGCUUUAGCAAGGGAAGAAAAAGCUCAUGCGUGAGAAAUUGACGGUACCUUGAGAAUAAGCACCGGCUAACUACGUGCCAGCCGCCGCGGUAA